rnacentral:rRNA from 1 species
AUUGAACGCUGGCGGCAGGCCUAACACAUGCAAGUCGAGCGAGUGGCGGACGGGUGAGUAAUGUCUGGGGAACUGCCCGAUGGAGGGGGAUAACUACUGGAAACGGUAGCUAAUACCGCAUACCAUCGGAUGAACCCAGAUGGGAUUAGCUGGUAGGGGAGGUAACGGUUCACCUAGGCGACGAUCCCUAGCUGGUCUGAGAGGAUGAACAGCCACACUGGAACUGAGACACGGGCCAGACUCCUCUGGGAGGCAGCAGGGGGGAAUAUUGCACAAUGGGGGCAAGCCUGAUGCAGCCAUGCCGCGUGUAUGAAGAAGGCCUUCGGGUUGUAAAGUACUUUCAGCGGGGAGGCGUUACUCGCAGAAGAAGCACCGGCUAACUCCGUGCCAGCAGCCGCGGUAAUUC